rnacentral:rRNA from 1 species
CACUUUCAUGGGGAAGAUUUAGUAUUGCUAAUAUCAGUAUUAAUUGACGUUACCCAUACAAGAAGCACCGGCUAACUCCGUGCCAGCAGCCGCGGUAAUACGGAGGGUGCAAGCGUUAAUCGGAAUUACUGGGCGUAAAGAGUACGUAGGUGGUUUAUUAAGUCAGAUGUGAAAUCCCUGAGCUUAACUUAGGAACUGCAUUUGAAACUGAUAGGCUAGAGUUUCGUAGAGGGGGGUAGAAUUCCAGGUGUAGCGGUGAAAUGCGUAGAGAUCUGGAGGAAUACCAGUGGCGAAGGCGGCCCCCUGGACGAAAACUGACACUCAGGUACGAAAGCAUGGGGAGCAAACAGGAUUAGAUACCCUGGUAGUCCAUGCCGUAAACGAUGUCGAUUUGAAGGUUGUAAUCUUAUGAAUUAUAGCUUUCGGAGCUAACGUGUUAAAUCGACCGCCUGGGGAGUACGACCGCAAGGUUAAAACUCAAAUGAAUUGACGGGGGCCCGCACAAGCGGUGGAGCAUGUGGUUUAAUUCGAUGCAACACGAAGAACCUUACCUACUCUUGACAUCCAAAGAACUGCAUAGAGAUAUGUGGGUGCCUUAGGGAACUUUGAGACAGGUGCUGCAUGGCUGUCGUCAGCUCGUGUUGUGAAAUGUUGGGUUAAGUCCCGCAACGAGCGCAACCCUUAUCCUUUGUUGCCAACGAGUUAAGUCGGGAACUCAAAGGAGACUGCCGGUGAUAAGCCGGAGGAAGGUGAGG